GAUGUACUCCCUCCGUUCGAAAUUACUUGUCGCAAAAAUGGAUGUAUCUAGAUGUAUUUUACUUCUAGAUAAAUCCAUUUUCAAGACAAGUAAUUCCGAACAGAGAAAGUAUAUC
rfam:Triticum urartu cultivar G1812 contig1004864, whole genome shotgun sequence.